UACGGGGGAUGCAAGCGUUAUCCGGAUUUAUUGGGUUUAAAGGGUGCGUAGGCUGUGAGGUAAGUCAGCGGUGAAAUGCCCCCGCUCGACGGGGUGAAGUGCCAUUGAUACUGCCUUGCUGGAAUGCGGAUGCCGUGGGAGGAAUGUGUGGUGUAGCGGUGAAAUGCAUAGAUAUCACACAGAACACCGAUUGCGAAGGCAUCUCACGAAUCCGCUAUUGACGCUGAUGCACGAAAGCGUGGGUAUCAAACAGG
rnacentral:rRNA from 1 species